rnacentral:tRNA from 1 species
GGGCUGCUAGCUUAGCCAGGAUGGAGCACCCGACUGAUAAUCGGGAGGUCGAGGGUUCAAAUCCCUUGCGGCCCA